UACAGAGGGGCAAGCGUUAUUCGGAAUUAUUGGGCGUAAAGGCGCGUAGGCGGCCUGGCAAGUGGAAGGUGAAAUCCCGUCGGCUUAACCGGGGAACUGCGUCUGAUACUGGAUGGCUUGAGUUUGGGAGAGGGAUGCGGAAUUCCAGGUGUAGCGGUGAAAUGCGUAGAUAUCUGGAGGAACACCGGUGGCGAAGGCGGCAUCCCUGGACCAACACUGACGCUGAGGAG
rnacentral:rRNA from 1 species